GGUUGUGAUCAUACCAGCACUAAUGCACCGGAUCCCAUCAGAACUCCGCAGUUAAGCGUGCUUGGGCGAGAGUAGUACUCGGAUGGGUGACCCCCUGGGAAGUCCUCGUGUUGCAACCCC
rnacentral:rRNA from 1 species